rnacentral:lncRNA from 1 species
GAAGAAAGAACUUACUCUCAUUGGGAGAUAUAAUUUGUAAAAUAAUAUUCAGCUGUGGGGAGGAUGGAACCAACACCAAAGUUCUACCAAAGGAUCAUGAUACCAAGGACAUAGAAGAGUUCCAGAAGAAGGUAGUAUAGUAGAAAAAAUACUGGAUGCAGUCAUAGGAAUGUGGGUUCAAAUACUGCCUAUACCACUAAAUAAGUAUAUAACCUUGAAACUUUUAAAUUCCAGGCCAGCUUCUUGGGAAAGGCAGGAAGGGUUAAGUCAACUCAGAAAGCCUAGAGGGUACGCUUCAUCCCUGAUGAGCUCCUUGAGAUCAAGGAUGGUUUCAUUUUUGCCUUUGUAGUCCCAAUAGGCACUUAAUAAAUGCUUGUUGCUUGAUGGAUCA